CCAGGUAUCAUCUUAACCAACACGGCUAACCUUUAUCAUGUGUUUGUCUCGGUUUAUUUUCAGAGAGAGAGAAAUGUCAUAGCUGGAAAGUUUCCUUUCAUCUCAUAACCACCCCCAUGAAAGUCUCCUCCUACGCAGGCGAUGCCCAUCCUUGCUGUGGAUGGUUGGACAGUGCUGGAAGAGCCAAAUUUUUCCCUUUAGGGGAGCAUUGUUGCCUGCAAAUUCUAGAAUGGAUUCUGAAGAAAGAAAUAAUGAUCUGGAGGUGGCUGGAACAUGCAACAAAGGUGGCCUCCAAGAAGGUGUCACUCCCCCGGGCUGCCAGUGUGGACUCGCAGCGCAGGCGAUGCCUGCCAUGCUUCGGGCGGCUGCAYGGGGUUUAA
rnacentral:lncRNA from 1 species